AUUGAACGCUGGCGGCAGGCUUAACACAUGCAAGUCGAGCGGAGCGAGGGUGCUUGCACCUUAGCUUAGCGGCGGACGGGUGAGUAAUGCUUAGGAAUCUGCCUAUUAGUGGGGGACAACAUUCCGAAAGGAAUGCUAAUACCGCAUACGCCCUACGGGGGAAAGCAGGGGAUCUUCGGACCUUGCGCUAAUAGAUGAGCCUAAGUCGGAUUAGCUAGUUGGUGGGGUAAAGGCCUACCAAGGCGACGAUCUGUAGCGGGUCUGAGAGGAUGAUCCGCCACACUGGGACUGAGACACGGCCCAGACUCCUACGGGAGGCAGCAGUGGGGAAUAUUGGACAAUGGGCGGAAGCCUGAUCCAGCCAUGCCGCGUGUGUGAAGAAGGCCUUUUGGUUGUAAAGCACUUUAAGCGAGGAGGAGGCUACUAGUACUAAUACUACUGGAUAGUGGACGUUACUCGCAGAAUAAGCACCGGCUAACUCUGUGCCAGCAGCCGCAGUAACAC
rnacentral:rRNA from 1 species